GAUGUUAUCAUUGAAGCAAAACCGCUAUAUGCGAAUGUUUACGUUCUAACACAGAUUAUAUGGAUAUAAUCUGUAGUUCUAUCAUCCUCAUAGCGAAAAACAUUCGUAUCGUACAUUAGUAAUGGAAAGAAUCAAUUGAAUUCGACAGUCUAGAGUAGGUAACGAUCAACAAAAUGAAAUUGUUACAGUCUUUCAGAAUUGAACGCAGAAAACAAAUGAGACUAAAUAUUAUACGUCAUAGAGAAACACUUUUAAAAUAUUUUAGAAAUAUUGAUGAUGUGAAUUUAAGAAAUAAAAUAAAUAAAUUACAUCCUAUCAAUGGAAUAGAUUCAAAUUUAAUUGAAGAACUUAAACAAGUAUCGCCAGUAAAAGUUGAGGUUGAAAAAGAAGUAAUUGAUGAAGAACAGCCGAAAUCUAAGAGUGAAGAUGAUUUCUCUGUUGGAUCCAACAAUGAAUAGAAAAGAGUUUGUGAAAGUGAGAUUCAGACUCCUGUAGUAGAAACCAGGAGAUCGAGCUACUUAGAAUUAGUUUAAAAUGAUGCCCAUCAUAGUACACGGCAUGAAGAUUUUUUAUAUUUCAAAGUUGUAUACGAUUUACCACAUGCUAUUGGUAUUAGAUGGAAUCCGAAAAACAACUGUUCCAAGCAGCAACUGCUCCAGCAAUAUUUUAUUCCUGUUUAAAAGUUCCCUAAUGCUAAGGUCUCACAGUCUAAAAAAAAUGAAUACAUUUGUUUUAUUAAAUUGUAUUUUCACUAUAGUAAUCUAAUACAUAAUUAUGUAAAUA